rnacentral:rRNA from 1 species
AACGAACGCUGGCGGCAUGCCUAACACAUGCAAGUCGAACGAGACCUUCGGGCCUAGUGGCGCACGGGUGCGUAACGCGUGGGAACCUGCCCUUAGGUUCGGAAUAACUCCCCGAAAGGGGUGCUAAUACCGGAUAAUGUCAUCGGACCAAAGAUUUAUCGCCUUUGGAUGGGCCCGCGUUGGAUUAGCUAGUUGGUAGGGUAAAAGCCUACCAAGGCGACGAUCCAUAGCUGGUCUGAGAGGAUGAUCAGCCACACUGGGACUGAGACACGGCCCAGACUCCUACGGGAGGCAGCAGUGGGGAAUAUUGGACAAUGGGCGAAAGCCUGAUCCAGCAAUGCCGCGUGAGUGAUGAAGGCCUUAGGGUUGUAAAGCUCUUUUACCCGGGAUGAUAAUGACAGUACCGGGAGAAUAAGCUCCGGCUAACUCCGUG